GUACACGCUGUGACUAGCAUAUCAUAAGCGGAGGAAAAGAAACUAACAAGGAUUCCCCUAGUAACGGCGAGUGAAGCGGGAAGAGCUCAAAUUUGAAAUCUUAAAGGGUUUCCCUUUACGAAUUGUAGUUUAAAGAAGUGUUUUCUGUUGAGGUUUUGGUAAAAGUUCUUUGGAAUAGGACAUCAUAGAGGGUGAGAAUCCCGUAUUUGACCUUUACUUUCAACUUUGUCGAUACACUUUCAAAGAGUCGGAUUGUUUGGGAAUGCAGUCCAAAAUGGGUGGUAAAUUACAUCUAAAGCUAAAUAUUGGCGAGAGACCGAUAGCGAACAAGUACCGUGAGGGAAAGAUGAAAAGAACUUUGAAAAGAGAGUUAAACAGUACGUGAAAUUGUCAAAAGGGAAGCGUUUGACACCAGUGUUGUUUUUCUGAAAAUCAAUUAAAGAACUGAUUUAUGCUAAGCUGUUUAGACUUUAUCAGCUAUCUGUUUAGUUUUGAGCUUUUCUUUAAUGCACUUUUCAGUUAACAAGUCAACAUCAAUUUCUUUUGCUGUAAAAAAGCUUGAGGAAGGUGGCUUGAGAUUCGUCUUAAGUGUUUAUAGCCUCUUGCCUAUGCAGUCGGAGAGAUUGAGGUCUGCAGCGUAGAUCCUUCGGGGCUAAAUGCAUUUGUGCUAAGUUAUAGCAUUUUAUAGACAACUUGUUGACUAUGAUUUGUCUUGUAGCUUACUCGCUUAUGUUAUUUUACCUACGCUUAGGAUGUUGAUAUGCAUGACUGAUAU
rnacentral:rRNA from 1 species